UACGUAGGGUGCGAGCGUUAAUCGGAAUUACUGGGCGUAAAGCGUGCGCAGGCGGUGAUGUAAGACAGGUGUGAAAUCCCCGGGCUUAACCUGGGAACUGCAUUUGUGACUGCAUCGCCGGAGUGCGGCAGAGGGGGAUGGAAUUCCGCGUGUAGCAGUGAAAUGCGUAGAUAUGCGGAGGAACACCGAUGGCGAAGGCAAUCCCCUGGGCCUGCACUGACGCUCAUGCACGAAAGCGUGGGGAGCAAACAGG
rnacentral:rRNA from 1 species